UACGAAGGAUCCAAGCGUUAUCCGGAUUUAUUGGGUUUAAAGGGUGCGUAGGCGGGCUAUUAAGUCAGUGGUGAAAGCCCCAAGCUUAACUUGGGAAUUGCCAUUGAUACUGAUUGUCUUGAGUACACUUGAAGUGGGCGGAAUGUGUCAUGUAGCGGUGAAAUGCUUAGAUAUGACACAGAACACCUAUUGCGAAGGCAGCUUGCUACACUGUGAUUGACACUGAGGCACGAAAGCGCGGGGAGCAAACAGG
rnacentral:rRNA from 1 species